rnacentral:lncRNA from 1 species
ACCAGCCUCCCGUCCUCACGGAAGUCAUCUGUAGCUUUGCCCAGGAGGCCACGCACUGUGUAAUCCUUCAAGGACAGGGAGCUCUCCUGUCACCUGGGGACAGUAACAGGGCCAGUCUCACAGUACUGCUGCCUGGAUUCAGCAGGACAUGGUACCUGGCUCCCAGUCAGCAGGCUUCCUACAAGACUGCUGGCUGGUUUCCAUGACAACCAGCACUGGCAGCCUCCAAAGCCCCUGCACAGCACACGAUCAUCAAAAAAAUGCUUGCUUAUGGCUUGGGUGUUCCCCCACGGAAUCCUCUAAGCUUCAGAAUCCUGCUGGUGACCCCCAGGAAAGGACCAAGGGAGAAGCAGGCUGUCCCCAGACC